CUCCUACGGGAGGCAGCAGUGGGGAAUUUUGGACAAUGGGCGCAAGCCUGAUCCAGCCAUGCCGCGUGAGUGAAGAAGGCCUUCGGGUUGUAAAGCUCUUUCGGUGAAGACGAAACGGUUAGCGCUAAUAACGCUGACUAAUGACGGUACUCACAGAAGAAGCACCGGCUAACUACGUGCCAGCAGCCGCGGUAAUACGUAGGGUGCAGGCGUUAAUCGGAAUUACUGGGCGUAAAGCGUGCGCAGGCGGUUUGCUAAGACAGGUGUGAAAUCCCCGGGCUUAACCUGGGAAUUGCGCUUGUAACUGGCAGGCUAGAGUGUGGCAGAGGGGGGUGGAAUUCCACGUGUAGCAGUGAAAUGCGUAGAUAUGUGGAGGAGCACCGAUGGCGAAGGCAGCCCCCUGGGUCAACACUGACGCUCAGGCACGAAAGCGUGGGGAGCAAACAGGAUUAGAUACCCUGGUAGUCCACGCCCUAAACUAUGUCAACUAGUUGUCGGGGAAGAAAUUCCUUGGUAACGAAGCUAACGCGUGAAGU
rnacentral:rRNA from 1 species